rnacentral:pre_miRNA from 1 species
GAAAUACUCCCUCCGUCCCAAAAUUCUUGUCUUAGAUUUGUCUAGAUACGGAUGUAUCUAAUACUAAAAUGUGACUUGAUACAUUCGUAUUUAGACAAAUAUAAGACAAGAAUUUUGGGACGGAGGGAGUAGAUU